CAACAGGGCAAUCUGUGAUCCUCCUGUGUACAGCAAGUGGAAGCCGGCUGUGCUCCACCUGUGCCGCGCAACCCCCAAGCAACUCUAGCAGACCUGGCGAGACCUCUGCCCAGGAAACUGACAAUCCUAGCGGACAUUCUCCUCAUCCUCCAGAAAGCUACUGACCUCUGCUUCCUGAUUGUAUCAGACUCCAGGCAAUUCAUUACCCACCUUAUUAAACAAGGUCUCUCUUGCUAUUUCUGCCAUGGGUCUCACCAUAUGACUGUCCUGGAUACAAACCUGUAUUCUGUCCUGUGUGUAGCUGAAGAAAGAAGGCCGAGUCGCCAGGUGGUGGUGGCACAUGCUUUUAAUCCCAGCACUUGGAAGGCAGAGGCAGGUGGAUC